AGGUGCCACGUCACAAA
rnacentral:miRNA from 1 species